rnacentral:rRNA from 1 species
AGGAAGUAAUAGUAAAACAAACCUACUUAUUACGGCGGCAUUCCAUCUACUUAGAGGAACUUGUUAACUAAUCGAUAAUCCACGAUAACUUUCACUUAAAUUAAAACUUAUAUAUCGCCAUCUUAAGAAUUACUUAAAAAAAUUUUUCAGAAAAAUUAUUUAAAAGUUAGGUCAAGGUGUAGUUAUAUUUAAGUCUUAGAUGAGUUACUUUAAAUAAAAUUUUUAAAGAAUUUAAAAUUAAAAAACUUUAAUGAAAAAGGAUUUAUAAGUAACUUAUAUUAAAUUAUAAUAAUAAUAAUCACUGAAAAAGAAAAUAAAUGUGU